UACGUAGGGGGCAAGCGUUGUCCGGAUUUAUUGGGCGUAAAGAGCGUGUAGGCGGCCUGACAAGUCUGCUGUGAAAACUCGAGGCUCAACCUCGAGAUGUCGGCGGAAACUGUCUGGCUAGAGUCCGGAAGAGGAGAGUGGAAUUCCUGGUGUAGCGGUGAAAUGCGCAGAUAUCAGGAAGAACACCAAUGGCGAAAGCAGCUCUCUGGGACGGUACUGACGCUGAGACGCGAAAGCGUGGGGAGCGAACAGG
rnacentral:rRNA from 1 species